rnacentral:rRNA from 1 species
GAUGAACGCUGGCGGCGUGCCUAAUACAUGCAAGUCGAGCGAACACAUGAGGAGCUUGCUCCUCUGACGUUAGCGGCGGACGGGUGAGUAACACGUGGAUAACCUACCUAUAAGACUGGGAUAACUUCGGGAAACCGGAGCUAAUACCGGAUAAUAUAUUGAACCGCAUGGUUCAAUAGUGAAAGACGGUUUUGCUGUCACUUAUAGAUGGAUCCGCGCCGCAUUAGCUAGUUGGUAAGGUAACGGCUUACCAAGGCAACGAUGCGUAGCCGACCUGAGAGGGUGAUCGGCCACACUGGAACUGAGACACGGUCCAGACUCCUACGGGAGGCAGCAGUAGGGAAUCUUCCGCAAUGGGCGAAAGCUUGACGGAGCAACGCCGCGUGAGUGAUGAAGGUCUUCGGAUCGUAAAACUCUGUUAUUAGGGAAGAACAAAUGUGUAAGUAACUAUGCACGUCUUGACGGUACCUAAUCAGAAAGCCACGGCUAACUACGUG